rnacentral:rRNA from 1 species
GACGAACGCUGGCGGCGUGCUUAACACAUGCAAGUCGAACGGAAAGGCCCUGCUUUUGUGGGGUGCUCGAGUGGCGAACGGGUGAGUAACACGUGAGUAACCUGCCCUUGACUUUGGGAUAACUUCAGGAAACUGGGGCUAAUACCGGAUAGGAGCUCCUGCUGCAUGGUGGGGGUUGGAAAGUUUCGGCGGUUGGGGAUGGACUCGCGGCUUAUCAGCUUGUUGGUGGGGUAGUGGCUUACCAAGGCUUUGACGGGUAGCCGGCCUGAGAGGGUGACCGGCCACAUUGGGACUGAGAUACGGCCCAGACUCCUACGGGAGGCAGCAGUGGGGAAUAUUGCACAAUGGGCGGAAGCCUGAUGCAGCAACGCCGCGUGCGGGAUGACGGCCUUCGGGUUGUAAACCGCUUUCGCCUGUGACGAAGCGUGAGUGACGGUAAUGGGUAAAGAAGCACCGGCUAACUACGUGCCAGCAGCCGCGGUGAUACGUAGGGUGCGAGCGUUGUCCGGAUUUAUUGGGCGUAAAGGGCUCGUAGGUGGUUGAUCGCGUCGGAAGUGUAAUCUUGGGGCUUAACCCUGAGCGUGCUUUCGAUACGGGUUGACUUGAGGAAGGUAGGGGAGAAUGGAAUUCCUGGUGGAGCGGUGGAAUGCGCAGAUAUCAGGAGGAACACCAGUGGCGAAGGCGGUUCUCUGGGCCUUUCCUGACGCUGAGGAGCGAAAGCGUGGGGAGCGAACAGGCUUAGAUACCCUGGUAGUCCACGCUGUAAACGGUGGGUACUAGGUGUGGGGUCCAUUCCACGGGUUCCGUGCCGUAGCUAACGCUUUAAGUACCCCGCCUGGGGAGUACGGCCGCAAGGCUAAAACUCAAAGGAAUUGACGGGGCCCCGCACAAGCGGCGGAGCAUGCGGAUUAAUUCGAUGCAACGCGUAGAACCUUACCUGGGUUUGACAUGGAUCGGGAGUGCUCAGAGAUGGGUGUGCCUCUUUUGGGGUCGGUUCACAGGUGGUGCAUGGCUGUCGUCAGCUCGUGUCGUGAGAUGUUGGGUUAAGUCCCGCAACGAGCGCAACCCUUGUUCACUGUUGCCAGCACGUUAUGGUGGGGACUCAGUGGAGACCGCCGGGGUCAACUCGGAGGAAGGUGGGGAUGACGUCAAGUCAUCAUACCCCUUAUGUCCAGGGCUUCACGCAUGCUACAAUGGCUGGUACAGAGAGUGGCGAGCCUGUGAGGGUGAGCGAAUCUCGGAAAGCCGGUCUCAGUUCGGAUUGGGGUCUGCAACUCGACCUCAUGAAGUCGGAGUCGCUAGUAAUCGCAGAUCAGCAACGCUGCGGUGAAUACGUUCCCGGG